rnacentral:rRNA from 1 species
GAUGAACGCUGGCGGCGUGCCUAAUACAUGCAAGUCGAGCGAACGGACGAGAAGCUUGCUUCUCUGUUGUUAGCGGCGGGCGGGUGUGUAACACGUGGAUAACCUACCUAUAAGACUGGGAUCACUUCGGGAAACCGGAGCUAAUACCGGAGGAUAUUUUGAACCGCAUGGUUCAAAAGUGAAAGACGGUCUUGCGGUCACUUAUAGAUGGAUCCGCGCUGCAUUAGCUAGUUGGUAAGGUAACGGCGUACCAAGGCAACGAUGCAUAGCCGACCUGAGAGGGUGAUCGGCCACACUGGAACUGAGACACGGUACAGACUCCUACGGGAGGCAGCAGUAGGGAAUCUUCCGCAAUGGGCGAAAGCCUGACGGAGCAACGCCGCGUGAGUGAUGAAGGUCUUCGGAUCGUAAAACUCUGUUAUUAGGGAAGAACAUAUGUGUAAGUAACUGUGCACAUCUUGACGGUACCUAAUCAGAAAGCCACGGCUAACUACGUG